rnacentral:rRNA from 1 species
ACUACGGGAGGCAACAGUGAGGAAUAUUGGUCAAUGGGCUUACGCCUGAACCAGCCAAGUCGCGUGAGGGAAGACUGCCCUAUGGGUUGUAAACCUCUUUUGUCAGGGAGCAAUUGGCGCUACGUGUAGCGUUAUCGAGAGUACCUGAAGAAAAAGCAUCGGCUAACUCCGUGCCAGCAGCCGCGGUAAUACGGAGGAUGCGAGCGUUAUCCGGAUUUAUUGGGUUUAAAGGGUGCGUAGGCGGAAUGCCAAGUCAGCGGUAAAAUCGCGGGGCUCAACCUCGCUCCGCCGUUGAAACUGGCGUGCUUGAGUGGGCGAGAAGUAGGCGGAAUGCGUGGUGUAGCGGUGAAAUGCAUAGAUAUCACGCAGAACUCCGAUUGCGAAGGCAGCAUACCGGCGCCCAACUGACGCUGAAGCACGAAAGCGUGGGUAUCGAACAGGAUUAGAUACCCCAGUAGUC